rnacentral:lncRNA from 1 species
CAGGCGUGUGCCGGGGCAGGAGGACUCAGGGGCUGGGGUGGGGGAUUUACUGGGACCCCAGCACCCCAAAUUCCUGCUCCAGCCAUGUCCCACAGAAGGAACCGCAGCUCGAGGGGCUGCGGGCGGAGCUGAGGCCCCUGCCUCCUGCCCGGAUUGACCUGGACACGUGUGAAGCCUUGACUUGCCUGGAGGCACUGAGCGAGGUCCCCGGAAGGAGGGUCCGGUGACGUCACAUGUGUACCAUGGAUUAGCUUUGCACCCGGCACAGAGUACCUUCCAGAACUGGGGCUGCGACUUCCUGCUCUGUGACCUCAGAUGAGGAACUUGACCUUCCUGGGCCUCUGUCACGAACUGUUAUGGGGAUGUGACGCUCCGGGUGCGGCGUCCGCUUGGGUGAAGAAUUCAGUGCGUGGAAGCUCCCGCCCGCUGCCCGAUGUCAUGGACACAGCUGAGCGUUAGUCCGCAGAGGGCCCUGAAGGAUGCGUGCGCCUGGGAGGGGCCUCGGGGUGUCUUGUGGGGUCUGAGGGUGGAGAACCGGAGGUGCCAAUGUCUUCACCGCCUCCUCAGUGUCUCUUGGAGCCAGAAACCUGGCUAAGAAACAACGGCAGGGCGCAGAGCCAGCAUGACACGAACGGGCUUUCACCUUGUUCUCCCUGCAGAACGGUUCCGGAAACCACAGCCAGUCUCUGCUCAGCUGGGGGCCGAAGGGAAAGGGAUCAGGCCAGGCCAGAGGGCCCGCGUUGACCGCAGUGGCCUCCGGAGGCCAGCCCGGGGGCGGCAGCGACGGAGAGCAGCCGAGGGAGACCCCAGGGGAGCUGGGGCUGAGCUGGAGGGGCUCCGAGCACUGUGCCACGGGCCUCGCUGUUCCCCUCGCCUCUCGGUCACACACGUGCACACCCUCACACUCACACACACACACACACACACACACACACACACACACACACACACACACGCUUUGACACCCUCGUGGCUGAAGAAUGCUGUGUGAUUCCCGAUUCCCG